rnacentral:rRNA from 1 species
GAUGAACGCUGGCGGCGUGCCUAAUACAUGCAAGUCGAGCGAACAGACGAGGAGCUUGCUCCUCUGACGUUAGCGGCGGACGGGUGAGUAACACGUGGAUAACCUACCUAUAAGACUGGGAUAACUUCGGGAAACCGGAGCUAAUACCGGAUAAUAUAUUGAACCGCAUGGUUCAAUAGUGAAAGACGGUUUUGCUGUCACUUAUAGAUGGAUCCGCGCCGCAUUAGCUAGUUGGUAAGGUAACGGCUUACCAAGGCAACGAUGCGUAGCCGACCUGAGAGGGUGAUCGGCCACACUGGAACUGAGACACGGUCCAGACUCCUACGAGAGGCAGCAGUAGGGAAUCUUCCGCAAUGGGAGAAAGCUUGACGGAGCAACGCCGCGUGAGUGAUGAAGGUCUUCGGAUCGUAAAACUCUGUUAUUAGGGAAGAACAAAUGUGUAAGUAACUAUGCACGUCUUGACGGUACCUAAUCAGAAAGACACGGCUAACUACGUG